AGGCUGGAUAGUAAGAGGGAGGUAACGGCCAGGAGGGCAUUCCUCCUUACCCUCAGCCCUCACUCUGGACCGCCCUGAGCCAUAUCUGCUUCACCGGAUCUGUUCUCCAUGCCUCCAACUACAAGAAAUGACCUGGAGUACCCUGCUGACCUAGGAUGUUAUAAGAGAUGGCUCAGUGGUUAAGAGCACUCUCUGCUCUUCCAGAGGAUAUGGGUUCAGUUUCCAGCCACCAUGGCAGUUAACAACUGUCUGCAACUGCAGUUCCAGAGGGUCUGAUAUUCUUUUCUGUCCCCCAAAGCACUUUAUGCACACAGUACACAGACAUGCAUGCAAGUAAAACACCCAUGCAUCUCAGAUAAAAAUACAAGAAGUAUAGAAGCAAGAGGAAGAGGAGGAAGAAGAGGAAGAGGAAGAAGAAAAGAGAAAGAGAAGCAGCUCGUUUGAAUUCUGACUGGCAGGACAAAAUAAAACACUACAGACUCUGAUUUUUGCACAGCUGCGUACUAUGUAUUAGAACCAAGAAUAGCCAGCCAGCGCAAUGACACAGUGCGUAAAGGUUCUUGCCACCAAACCCGAUAACCUGAGUUCCAUCUUGAGGACCCACAUAGAAGGAGAGAACUGAUUCCUGCAAGAUCUCCUCUGACUUCCACACAUUCUUCAGUGGUACGUAUAUCCCUCCAAUAAAUGCAAUUUAAAACAU
rnacentral:lncRNA from 1 species